UGCAUUUCCAAUCAGCUAAACAGUAGUUAUUUUUAUUUUUUCAUUUAACAAGAGCUCACCUUGACCUCCAAGAUUUGAAGGCACCCUGGAGGAUGAUUAUCCUCCUGAGAACGAGCUAUGUGAACACACCGAAAUGAUCCAAUUCAAGGUUUCAUUACUCGAGGAGAGUAGUGUUUUUGCCAAAGCUCUUGAUGAGUUGCACAAAAAAGAGCCGAAAAUAGUUGAUAAGUUGUCCUACAAAGAAGAAGAGGUAUCUCUCUUGUCGAAGCUUGGUCGUCUAGAAGAAGCCAAGAAACUCUACACGGUGUUGCUUUCCAUGAACCCCCGACUGUUAUAGGUAUUAUGAAGGCCUCCAGAAAUGUUUUGAAUUGUAUUUAGAAAAUGGUCAAGAUUCGUCUGACCAAAUUGAGAAGUUAAAUGCCUUGUACCAGUCUCUAGGUGAGCAGUACACUCGCUCAUCCGCUUUUAAGAGGAUACCAUUAGAUUUUCUGCAAAAUGAAAGUUUUAAGGAGGCUGUAGGAAAGUACAUUAAACCUCUGUUGACAAAGGUAUCCUUUAAUGCCGUUGAGUCUCUUUGUUACACAAUGCUCUAAUAGAAUAGAACAUGCUUCUUAAUGGAUAUCUUGAUGGUCGUCUCUCUUCUCUAUAUGACCACCCUAUUGCAAGCCUGAUAUAUUGGAGCAACUACUUAUUCAAAUGGAAAAUUAGAUUAGGACUACCGGAAGUUACCCAGGAAGGUAUACAGCUGAAUUAUUACUGAAGCAUUCACUUGUUGAUGCAGUGAUGUGAAAGAGCCCCCAUCAACUCUAUUGUGGACAUUGUUUUUCUUAGGCUCAGCAUUAUGACAAGCGUGGUCAGUAUGAUGUUGCUCUUGGUAAAAUUGACGAGGCUAUUGCUCAUACGCCGACUGUGAUUGACCUAUACUCCGUUAAGAGCCGAAUAAUGAAGCAUGCAGGAGAUUUGACUGCCGCUGCCGCACUUGCUGAUGAAGCUAGCUAGAUGCAUGGACUUAGCAGAUCGCUAUAUAAACAGUGAAUGUGUUAAGCGUAUGCUGCAAGCAGAUCAGGUGACCUUGGCUGAAAAAACCAGUAAAUUGACACUUGGGUGGCUUAAUGGUGGCCUUCUUCGUUUUAGGAAGCUGAGGGUAAGAGUGAAGAAUCAACUGCCGGUGGCGUCUCCAAGUCUGGCAAACGAAAUGUGAAACCUGUAGAUCCAGAUCCUCGUAGGGGAAAAGUUAAGUCAGGGUUUUUGUUUGCUUCAUGUAUUGUGUGUCUUCACCAUAGUUAUAUAUUAUGAGUGUCAACUUUAUCAGAGGCUUACUGGAAAACUUAAUCUGUACAGGUGGAAGAGCCAAUGGCAGAGGCUUCAAAGUACUUGAGACUUCUCCAGAAGCAUUCACCUAAUUCUUUGGAGACUCAUCUACUUUCUUUUGAGGGUACUUAAUAUGAGAAAACAAAAAUUUCUGCUUGCAUUCCAGGCUGUUAAGCAAUUGCUUAAACUGGACGCGGAGAACCCUGAUUCACAUCGUUCCCUGCCUGAUAUAUUGAAAUUCUUCCUCAAGACAGGGCACGACAAGUGCUCCUCCAACGACUGAAGCUGAGAAACUUCGUUGGAGUCUCCUAGAGGCUUGAGCGCCCAUCAAUCAGUCGAUUGCAAAAUAAAUCACUAGUGGAGGCAAACAAAGAGUUCCUUGCUAGACACGAAGAUUCUUUGGUGCCCAGAGCUGCAUACGCAGAAAUGUUGUACCUUUUAGAUCCAAGCAAGAAAACCGAGUCUAUCAAAAUAAUUGAAGACUCAGCCAAUAAAGUGGUUCAACCAAACGGGGAUCUAGGACUAGCAAGAAUGUGGAAACUCAAAGACUGUACAGCAGUUCAUAAGCUUCUAGAUACAGUUCUUCUUGACUCAGAAGCUGCAUCCAGAUGGAAAUCACGAUGCGCAGAGCAUUUUCCCUGUUCAACUUACUUUCAAGGGUGAUGAGAUCAUUAGCAAUGUGGAGAAGGAGCAUCAAGGAUGUUUAUUUCAGAGCUGCCACUGUACUUGCUGUGUUUGCACUUAGGUUUCCAUGUUGAGGACUCAUGGUGAAAAGGUUUGGGAUCUUGAUUUUACUACUCGAUGGAAAGCUUGAAAGGUCCUUUGUAAAUGACUAAAACUUGUUUGGUACUCUGAGCAUAUAAAUGUGAAGAUGGUAUUGUCUGUUGUAGAACCUAAGAUAAGAGGUCUAAGAAUUUUGCAGAGAGAGAUAAUGUUUUGUAAGAAUCUCUUUCACUCA